rnacentral:rRNA from 1 species
GUGGGGAAUUUUGGACAAUGGGGGAAACCCUGAUCCAGCCAUCCCGCGUGUAUGAUGAAGGCCUUCGGGUUGUAAAGUACUUUUGGCAGAGAAGAAAAGGUAUCUCCUAAUACGAGAUACUGCUGACGGUAUCUGCAGAAUAAGCACCGGCUAACUACGUGCCAGCAGCCGCGGUAAUACGUAGGGUGCAAGCGUUAAUCGGAAUUACUGGGCGUAAAGCGUGUGUAGGCGGUUCGGAAAGAAAGAUGUGAAAUCCCAGGGCUCAACCUUGGAACUGCAUUUUUAACUGCCGAGCUAGAGUAUGUCAGAGGGGGGUAGAAUUCCACGUGUAGCAGUGAAAUGCGUAGAUAUGUGGAGGAAUACCGAUGGCGAAGGCAGCCCCCUGGGAUAAUACUGACGCUCAGACACGAAAGCGUGGGGAGCAAACAGGA